rnacentral:rRNA from 1 species
AAUGGACGUUGGCGGCGUGGAUUAGGCAUGCGAGUCGUGCGAGAAUCGUAGCAAUACGAGGACAGCGGCGCAAGGGAGGGGAAUAAGUAGAAAUCUACCCUCGGAUCGGGGAUAGCGGCGGGAAACUGCCGGUAAUACCCGAUAACGUCUUUGGACCAAAGGUGUGAUUCCGUCUGAGGAUGAGUCUACUUCCUAUUAGCUAGUUGGCGGGGUAAUGGCCCACCAAGGCAACGAUGGGUAGCAGGUGUGAGAGCAUGACCUGCCUCAUUGGGACUGAGACACUGCCCAGACACCUACGGGUGGCUGCAGUCGAGAAUCUUCGGCAAUGGACGAAAGUCUGACCGAGCGACGCCGCGUGCGGGAUGAAGGCCUUCGGGUUGUAAACCGCUGUCGUAGGGGAACAAGUGUACGGGGGUACUCCCUCGUAUUUGAGUGAUCCUAGGAGGAAGGAGAGGCUAAGCUCGUGCCAGCCGCCGCAGUAACAC